UCUAAAUCAGAGUUGGGGGUGCUCCGGCAAGACCCUCCGACGCUCAAGUCAAUACUCUGCCUCAACAGAAAUGGAGCACUCGAAUGGAAUUUUAGCAAAGUUUCGAGAUAGAGUUUAGAGCCUAGAGAAGAACGUAUCUGGGGGUCCCUUUAUAUAGACGGAAAGCGUAAUUGAUCGAUAGCAACGUCUGUAACCGCCUAGUAGUGGGCCGUUCAUGGCCACGUGGAGUUUGUUGCGGAGAGUAGUGG
rnacentral:lncRNA from 1 species